rnacentral:tRNA from 1 species
GUAGAUAUAGUUUAAGUAAAACAUUAGAUUGUGAAUCUAACAAUAGAGCUUCAUACGUCUCUUAUUUACC